ensembl:piRNA 21ur-2557 ncRNA
UUCAAACAGGAUGAAAAUGAA